UACAUGGGGUGCAAACGUUGCUCGGAAUUAUUGGGCGUAAAGCGCGCGUAGGCGGUUACUCAAGUCGGAUGUGAAAGCCCUCGGCUUAACUGAGGAAGUGCACCCGAAACUGAGUAGCUAGAGUACUAAAGAGGGUCGCGGAAUUCCCGGUGUAGAGGUGAAAUUCGUAGAUAUCGGGAGGAACACCGGUGGCGAAGGCGGCAUCCUGGACCGGCAUUGACGCUGAUGAGCGAAAGCCAGGGGAGCAAACGGG
rnacentral:rRNA from 1 species